rnacentral:lncRNA from 1 species
CCCUUUCGCCAAAACAAUACAUUUUCGCCAAGUAACAUGAAUAUAUUUCCGUUUAUGGUUUUCCUUCUUUCAACCCCCUUCCUUUUCCACCUUAACAAAAAAUGAUAAUAAAAUGAAUUACCCCAUUGUUGAAUAUGAUUUUUCUCUUUAACUUAUCUUUUAGUCAACGUUGUGAUGAACAACACUAAAUAAAGGCAACAGUAGUAUACCGCUGUUCAAAACUCAUAAAUCCAUGGACAAAAAACAAAAUCGGGGUAACAAACUAAAACUGAGGGAAACGCAUUAAAUAUAAGAGGAGAACAACGACACAACAUUAAAAUGUAACACACACAGAAACGGACUAAGCAUUAGACAAAAUGCUACAUUUACUUCUUGAAAGAUAGACUAAAAGUGUUAAAAAAGCAAUAUAGAAAUCAUCAUUUUGACUUCUGGGAACACAAGAUUUAUCUUCAAUUAGUUAAUCGAAUAUAUAUGUUUAUUUCCUUCCAGUUGAAGGGUAAAGACUGAAGGCAGUGACUUUUCUUACUUUUGAACAACAACCC